AUACGUAGGGAGCGAGCGUUAUCCGGAUUUACUGGGUGUAAAGGGUGCGUAGGCGGCUCUGCAAAUCAGGUGUGAAAACCAUCGGCUUAACUGAUGGACUGCAUUUGAAACUGUGGGGCUUGAGUGGAGUAGAGGCAGACGGAAUUCCCGGUGUAGCGGUGAAAUGCGUAGAGAUCGGGAAGAACACCAAUGGCGAAGGCGGCCUGCUGGGCUCUAACUGACGCUGAGGCACGAAAGCAUGGGUAGCAAACAGGAUUAGAUACCCUGGUAGUCCAUGCCGUAAACGAUGAUUACUAGGUGUGGGGAGUCUGACCCUCUCCGUGCCGGAGUUAACACAAUAAGUAAUCCACCUGGGAAGUACGACCGCAAGGUUAAA
rnacentral:rRNA from 1 species